GACGAACGCUGGCGGCGUGCCUAAUACAUGCAAGUAGGACGCACAGUCUAUACCGUAGCUUGCUACACCAUAGGCUGUGAGUUGCGAACGGGUGAGUAACGCGUAGGUAACCUGCCUAUUAGAGGGGGAUAACUAUUGGAAACGAUAGCUAAUACCGCAUAACAGUAUGUAACACAUGUUAGAUGCUUGAAAGAUGCAAUUGCAUCGCUAGUAGAUGGACCUGCGUUGUAUUAGCUAGUAGGUAGGGUAAUGGCCUACCUAGGCGACGAUACAUAGCCGACCUGAGAGGGUGAUCGGCCACACUGGGACUGAGACACGGCCUAGACUCCUACGGGAGGCAGCAGUAGGGAAUCUUCGGCAAUGGGGGGAACCCUGACCGAGCAACGCCGCGUGAGUGAAGAAGGUUUUCGGAUCGUAAAGCUCUGUUGUUAAGGAAGAACGAGUGUGAGAAUGGAAAGUUCAUACUGUGACGGUACUUAACCAGAAAGGGACGGCUAACUACGUG
rnacentral:rRNA from 1 species